GGCAAUUGGGCAACUGCCCAGGGGCCCACGGUCUCUAAAGGGCCCUGGGCAGUGAAGGCACGGACAUAAUGGAUGGGGGAUAUGCGUGGACUUGUCUCCCUGCACUUCCUGCAUCUGUGCUCUAUGUCUCCCGCACUUUUCUCAGCCGUUACAGCUGUUUUAUCCAUUAUUAACACAUGGCAAUGCGUUUUCCUGAGCCGUCUUUGAACGCACCAUAAGCGUGCGCAAGCUACUCCUGUAGAUGACUGAUAGGAGACGUUCUUCUGACCACCUGCCUUCUGAGCAGAGCCUCCCGGUGUAAAGAGCAACUAAAACUUCACACAGUUUUUACCAAACAAACCAUAAGUCAUGCUGGCUGCUUUCCACAUAUUUAAAAUAAAUCUUCAUUGCCACAGAACAAGGUCAGGGAGGAGACAGACCAGAUAGCCUACAGCAGCAGGGAUCAUAAUGCAGACUUUCCUCAGGUAAGGAGAAAUUAUGAGUAAUAUUCUUGAAGAGGAACAGUCUUUAACAACUGGUGUAAAGUUUGAAGUCUCUACUUUUGACAUAAUGUGUAACAGAGUCUCAGAGAAUUAACCACAGAAAGAUGGAGGUUAAAUCACGACUAGAUCACAUGUUGUUGAGAAACCAGACAGGUAUCAGGACAGGUUCACAGAUAUUUCAGAAGUACUCUUCAUACUCCAAAAUAUUAUUUUAUUAUUGUUUCUACUUUGGGCCAAAAUAAACCUAGAGUUUAUAAUAUUAUUUUGUUAUUUACCGGUAGUUAACAAAGAGAUGAUUGAUAGUCUUAGUUCAAAAGCAAAAACUGACAUGGAUGUUUAAAGAUGUAGUUUCAUUUUUGUUUAUUAUGUAGAUGUAUGA